GAAAUGCGAUAAGUAAUGUGAAUUGCAGAAUUCAGUGAAUCAUCGAAUCUUUGAACGCACAUUGCGCUCGCCAGUAUUCUGGCGAGCAUGCCUGUUCGAGCGUCAUUUCAACCAUCAAGCUCUGCUUGCGUUGGGGAUCCGCGGCUGCCCGCGGUCCCUCAAAAACAGUGGCGGGCUCGCUAGUCACACCGAGCGUAGUAACUCUACAUCGCUAUGGUCGUGCGGCGGGUUCUUGCCGUAAAACCCCCAAUUUCUAAGGUUGACCUCGGAUCAGGUAUGAAUACCCGCUGAACUUAAGC
rnacentral:misc_RNA from 1 species